rnacentral:rRNA from 1 species
CCUACGGGUGGCAGCAGUGAGGAAUAUUGGUCAAUGGACGAGAGGCUGAACCAGCCAAGUAGCGUGAAGGAUGACUGCCCUACGGGUUGUAAACUUCUUUUAUAUGGGAAUAAAACGUUCCACGUGUGGCAUUUUGUAUGUACCUUAUGAAUAAGGAUCGGCUAACUCCGUGCCAGCAGCCGCGGUAAUACGGAGGAUCCGAGCGUUAUCCGGAUUUCUUGGGUUUAAAGGGAGGGUAGGUGGGAGUGCAAGUCAGAUGUGAAAGCCAUGGGCUCAACCCAUGAAUUGCAUUUGAUACUGCAGUGCUGGAGUGCUGGUGAGGUAGGAGGAAUGCGUGGUGUAGCGGUGAAAUGCAUAGAUAUACGGAAGAACACCGAUUGCGAAGGCAGCCUACUGGACCGCAACUGACGCUGAUGCGCGAAAGCGUGGGUAGCAAACAGGAUUAGAUACCCUGGUAGUC